rnacentral:lncRNA from 1 species
GUUGCCAAUAUGAUUACAUUCAUGUAAAACCCAACGGAAGCCACUCGCGGAGAGUUAAACCUUGAAACAAGAUGUUUAAUGCUUUGAAAAAUUAAGUUUGUUACAUUCUUCCAACGUUAGUGAUGGCGAUAUUCAGCAAGAAUGAAAAAGAGGAUUUCAAGUCAUGAAUUCUCCGCGAAACCAACUCGUGAUUAGUUCACCAGCUCCAUUGCUCGCAAGCUGAAAAGGAUCAAUCAAAAUGUGCAUUGAAGAGCUCUCAAUCGCAUUCUACGGACCAGUGCCCUGCUAAAAAUUAACUGAGUACUUCAAAGUAAAUACUAAAGUAUAAGCAAUACUAUGGAUUUUUUUUUUAAUCAAAACUGUAAAAAUGCAAGCCGUUGUUACAAAAAAAUUUUGUUACAUUUUUUUUCAUUUUUAUUUUAUCAGUUCGCUUAAGUCUAAGGAUAAAUUAAGUCUGAUAAGUAUAAAAACCAAGUAUCGAUGUGGAUCAACACAUUUACUUUUUUACUCUAAUUGAUUGAAAUCUUCUCUGAAGAUAUCUGAAACGUAUCAGGAUUCGUUGCACAUCCAGGACAGGUGUGGAGUGU